CGGACCCAGAAAUAUAAAUUCACAGGUAAAUUUGGCCCAUAGGCCCAACAACCUAAACCCUAACCCUAAUCCCCCUCUCUUUCUCUCUCCUCUACUUACCCACCCCGCCCAGCCGCCGCCCCUCUCCUCUCCACUCCGUGCUUCCGCCGCCAGCGCCGGCGUUCCUCUGCUCCUCUCCUUCCCCGCAACUGCACCUCCUCUCCUCCCCCGCCCCAGCGGCGUCGCGCCUCCUCUCUGUCGCCGCCGCCGAGCGCCGGGCGCCCGCGCCAUCGACGUUUCUCGGCGGGGAGCCGGCCAGCCGGGAGUGGCUGGUGGAGGGCUGCUCCCGACCUCCCAAGGGCGCGCGGGCCGGGGAGCCGAGGGGCCCGACGCCGGCGCGGACGGAGACGGAGAAGGGGAGGCUGGGUUUGUUGGGGCGGUACGAGAGGCGGAGCGCCGGGCCGGAGGAGAGGGCGGUGGAGAGGUCGAAGCGGAGCUCGCAGGGACCGCCGCCGGCGGAGAGGCCGAACUGGAACGGCGGCCCAAGGCCCAAGCACCCCGAUCGGCACCUUGGCCCGCAUCAGCGGCCGGUUGUCGUCGUGGAGGCUUGGUGGUGGUGGCGGCUUGCGGCUUGGCCUGACGCAAGGCGGCGAGCGGCAGGCGAGGGCGCGAGGCCGAGCCACCGAGGCGGGGUCGCAGGGAGCCAGCCAGCCCCUCGCGGCCUCCGCCGCUGAACACGAGCGGGGACGCGGGCCCACCUGUCAGCAAUGGAGGACCGUAAACUAUUAUAUUAGUAAAGAUUCGGCCGAAAACGUUCGAUCCAGGCGCCUGAGCAAAACCCAAGAUAUCGGAAAAUACUCUUGGGCGCCCCAGCAAAAGCACAAAACGUGAAUGUUACCGCGAGAUUAUUGAAGAUCUGAGGCGCAGAGUUCAGAGAUUGGAGAGACUUCUCGAAGAAGCUCUGGGUGGACGAGCUACCACAUCCGGAAAGAAGAAGGCGAGGGAAUGACCAUCUACUCGUAAAUUGCUGAAAGAAAAUUUGUUGCCUUCUCUUUGCAAUCGGUCGAAUGUAAUAUUGAAUUAGGAAUUCCGUAUUGAACCAUUUUUUUCCUUCCACUACUAUUGAUUUGUUGGCUGAUCGCCCUAUAUACUGUAAACUAAAUAAUAUUGGUGAUAUGGACCAUUCUAUCCCAAACUAUAUUUA